rnacentral:rRNA from 1 species
UGGGGAAUAUUGCACAAUGGGCGCAAGCCUGAUGCAGCGACGCCGCGUGAGGGAUGACGGCCUUCGGGUUGUAAACCUCUUUCAGUAUCGACGAAGCGCAAGUGACGGUAGGUACAGAAGAAGCACCGGCCAACUACGUGCCAGCAGCCGCGGUAAUACGUAGGGUGCGAGCGUUGUCCGGAAUUACUGGGCGUAAAGAGCUCGUAGGUGGUUUGUCGCGUUGUUCGUGAAAACUCACAGCUCAACUGUGGGCGUGCGGGCGAUACGGGCAGACUGGAGUACUGCAGGGGAGACUGGAAUUCCUGGUGUAGCGGUGGAAUGCGCAGAUAUCAGGAGGAACACCGGUGGCGAAGGCGGGUCUCUGGGCAGUAACUGACGCUGAGGAGCGAAAGCGUGGGGAGCGAACAGGAUUAGAUACCCCCGUAGUCC